AUUGAAAAACGAAAAUGGCUCUCCGAUUGGGCCGACUUUUUCGGCCAAUUUCGCAGAUUGCAAAGGGUGCAGUCUUGAAACAAGCCAAAUCUGCACCAAUUGCUGCCACUCAAUGUUUGAGAUUUGAAUCAACAACUUCCCAAGAGAAAAACCCUAUGGCCAGACCCUCAGUGUCCCCUGAACGAAAGAAACAGCUGGAGGAUUUUGGUCAGUAUGUUGGUCAGUGCCUGCCCAGGUAUGUUCAGAAGGUGCGUCUAAUGUCUGGGGACGAGUUGGAGAUUCUGAUCCAUCCAGAAGGAGUCCUUCCGGUGAUGGCCUUUCUGAAGGACCACCACAACGCGCAGUUUACCAACAUUGUUGACAUAGCUUGUGUAGACGUUCCAACCAGAGUCUUUAGAUUUGAGGUAAUAUACAACUUGUUAUCAAUAAGAUAUAAUUCUCGUAUUCGGGUCCUUACCUACACGGAUGAGCUGACUGGCCUGGACAGUACCUGCAAGCUAUUCCCUGGAUCUAAUUGAUUUGGGACAUGUUUGGCGUAUAUUUCCAUAAUCAUCCUGACUUAAGAAGAAUUCUGACAGAUUAUGGAUUUGAGGGUCAUCCAUUCAGGAAAGACUUUCCUCUGUCAGGCUACACAGAGGUCCGUUACGAUGAAGAGGUUCGGCGUGUGGUGAUCGAGCCGCUCGAGAUGACUCAGGAGUUUCGACGAUUUGAGUACAGUACUCCAUGGGAAAGCUUCCCCAACUUCCGUCCUAAAGAUGAGACGGAGGCCGAAGCUCCUGUCCCUCAGGUGGAGUCUGGCGAGAAGAAGUGAUGGACGAUAAAAUUAACUUUAUAACUAAACACAUUGCCAUUACAUGUAAAUAAAACUAUCUUGACAAUGA
rnacentral:misc_RNA from 1 species